UACGAAGGGGGCGAGCGUUGUUCGGAUUUACUGGGCGUAAAGGGCGCGCAGGCGGCUCAUUUUGUCAGGCGUGAAAGCCCCGGGCUUAACCUGGGAACUGCGUUUGAUACGGAUGGGCUAGAGUUCGGGAGAGGAGAGUGGAAUUCCCAGUGUAGAGGUGAAGUUCGUAGAUAUUGGGAAGAACACCGGUGGCGAAGGCGGCUCUCUGGACCGAGACUGACGCUGAGGCGCGAAAGCGUGGGGAGCAAACAGG
rnacentral:rRNA from 1 species